rnacentral:rRNA from 1 species
GACGAACGCUGGCGGCGUGCUUAACACAUGCAAGUCGAACGGAAAGGCCUGCUUUCCCUUGUGGAUUGCGGGUACUCGAGUGGCGAACGGGUGAGUAACACGUGAGUGAUCUGCCCCCAACUUGGGUAUAAGCCUGGGAAACUGGGUCUAAUUCCCGAUAGGACUGCAGGGUGGUGCCUGUGGUGGAAAACGAUUUUCUAGUGGUUGGGGAUGAGCUCGCGGCCUAUCAGCUUGUUGGUGGGGUAAUGGCCUACCAAGGCGGCGACGGGUAGCCGGCCUGAGAGGGUGGACGGCCGAAUUGGGACUGGGUUCCGGCCCAGACUCCUACGAGAGGCAGCAGUGGGGAAUAUUGCACAGUGGGCGGGAGCCUGAUGCAGCGACGCCGCGUGGGGGAUGACGGCCUUCGGGUUGUAAACUCCUUUCGACCGCGAGGAAGCCACCUGGUUGGAAGGGUGGUGACGGUAGUGGUAGAAGAAGCACCGGCUAACUACGUG